rnacentral:ribozyme from 1 species
UUUCUCUGCUUUUUGUUUUUUCUUUCUUUCUUUCUUUCUUUCAGAUCGAAUUUUGGACCAACGGGCAGAUCCCAGCUCUCAAACAUAGAGUACUGA